rnacentral:rRNA from 1 species
GCCCUUCGGGGUGGAUUAGUGGCGAACGGGUGAGUAACACGUGGGCAAUCUGCCCUGCACUCUGGGACAAGCCCUGGAAACGGGGUCUAAUACCGGAUAUGACCGUCUUGGGCAUCCUUGACGGUGUAAAGCUCCGGCGGUGCAGGAUGAGCCCGCGGCCUAUCAGCUUGUUGGUGAGGUAAUGGCUCACCAAGGCGACGACGGGUAGCCGGCCUGAGAGGGCGACCGGCCACACUGGGACUGAGACACGGCCCAGACUCCUACGGGAGGCAGCAGUGGGGAAUAUUGCACAAUGGGCGAAAGCCUGAUGCAGCGACGCCGCGUGAGGGAUGACGGCCUUCGGGUUGUAAACCUCUUUCAGCAGGGAAGAAGCGAAAGUGACGGUACCUGCAGAAGAAGCGCCGGCUAACUACGUGCCAGCAGCCGCGGUAAUACGUAGGGCGCAAGCGUUGUCCGGAAUUAUUGGGCGUAAAGAGCUCGUAGGCGGCUUGUCACGUCGGUUGUGAAAGCCCGGGGCUUAACCCCGGGUCUGCAGUCGAUACGGGCAGGCUAGAGUUCGGUAGGGGAGAUCGGAAUUCCUGGUGUAGCGGUGAAAUGCGCAGAUAUCAGGAGGAACACCGGUGGCGAAGGCGGAUCUCUGGGCC